GACGAACGCUGGCGGCGUGCUUAACACAUGCAAGUCGAACGAAGUGGCGAACGGGUGAGUAAUACGUGAGUAACCUGCCCUCCUUUUUGGGAUAAGCCUUGGAAACGGGGUCUAAUACCGAAUAAAGGGGGAUGGGCUCGCGGCCUAUCAGCUUGUUGGUGGGGUGAUGGCCUCCCAAGGCGGUGACGGGUAGCCGGCCUGAGAGGGUGACAGGCCACAUGGGACACGGGACAGGGCCCAGCAGGAUACGGCAGGCAGGAGUGGGGGAUAUUGCACAAUGGGCUGAAGCCUGAUGCAGCGAGGGCGGGUGGGGGAUGAAGGCUUUUGAGUUGUAAACCUCGUGAGCUACGGAACGGGUAGGUGGAGAAGAAGCGCCGGCUAACUACGUGCCAGCAGCCGCGGUAAUUC
rnacentral:rRNA from 1 species